CCUACGGGAUGCAGCAGUGAGGAAUAUUGGUCAAUGGGCGCAAGCCUGAACCAGCCAAGUCGCGUGAGGGAUGACGGUCCUAUGGAUUGUAAACCUCUUUUGUCGGGGAGCAAGGCCCGCCACGUGUGGCGGGAAGGAGAGUACCCGAAGAAAAAGCAUCGGCUAACUCCGUGCCAGCAGCCGCGGUACUACGGAGGAUGCGAGCGUUAUCCGGAUUUAUUGGGUUUAAAGGGUGCGUAGGCGGAAGGUUAAGUCAGCGGUAAAAUGUCGGUGCUCAACACCGGCCUGCCGUUGAAACUGGUCUUCUUGAGUGAGCGAGAAGUAGGCGGAAUGCGUGGUGUAGCGGUGAAAUGCAUAGAUAUCACGCAGAACUCCGAUUGCGAAGGCAGCAUACCGGCGCUCAACUGACGCUGAGGCACGAAAGCGUGGGGAUCGAACAGGAUUAGAUACCCCAGUAGUC
rnacentral:rRNA from 1 species